rnacentral:ncRNA from 1 species
CAACUUGAGAGUUUGAUCCUGGCUCAGAACGAACGCUGGCGGCAGGCUUAACACAUGCAAGUCGAACGCAUCCUUCGGGGUGAGUGGCAGACGGGUG